rnacentral:tRNA from 2 species
GCGCCUAUAGCUCAGCUGGAUAGAGUACCAGUUUCCGAAACUGGGGGCCGCAGGUUCAAGUCCUGCUAGGCGCACCA